GACGAACGCUGGCGGCGUGCUUAACACAUGCAAGUCGAACGGAACGGCCCUAGCUUGUUGGAGUACUCGAGUGGCGAACGGGUGAGUAACACGUGGGUAAUCUGCCCUGCACUUUGGGAUAAGCUUGGGAAACUGGGUCUAAUACUGGAUAUGACCUUUCUCCUUAUGGGGUUUGGUGGAAAGUUUUUCGGUGUAGGAUGAGCCUGCGGUCUAUCAGCUUGUUGGCGGGGUAAUGGUCUACCAAAGCGACGACGGGUAGCCGGCCUGAGAGGGCGAGCGGCCACAUUGGGACUGAGAUACGGCCCAGACUCCUACGGGAGGCAGCAGUGGAGAAUAUUGCACAAUGGGCGGAAGCCUGAUGCAGCGACGCCGCGUGGGGGAUGACGGCCUUCGGGUUGUAAACCUCUUUCAGCAGGGACGAAGCGUAAGUGACGGUACCGGCAGAAGAAGCACCGGCUAACUAUGUG
rnacentral:rRNA from 1 species